rnacentral:rRNA from 1 species
AGAGAGACUACAGGAUUCCCCUAGUAACGGCGAGUGAAGCGGGAACAGCUCAAAUUUGAAAUCUCACGGGUUUACUCGNGCGAAUUGUAGUUUAUAGAAACGUUUUCNGGGGUGGCCCGGGCAUAAGUCCUUUGGAAUGAGGCAUCAUAGAGGGUGAGAAUCCCGUCUUUGAGCUCCGGAGCCCGCUCACAUGUGAUGCGUUUUCUAAGAGUCGGUUUGUUUGGGAAUGCAGACCAAAAUGGGUGGUAAAUACCAUCUAAAGCUAAAUAUUGGCGAGAGACCGAUAGCGAACAAGUACCGUGAGGGAAAGAUGAAAAGAACUUUGAAAAGAGAGUUAAAAGUACCUGGAAUUGUCCAAAGGGAAACGCUUGGAACCCGUAUUGGUUGCAGGUAAUCAACCGUUGCUUUUGGAGCGGUGCACUUGCCUGUCGGUCGGGUCAACAUCAGUUUGGCUCGGGAUAAAAAGCCGGGAGAAGGUAGCCCCUCUCGGGGGGUGUUAUAGCUCACGGUCAUGUCUUGGGCUGGACUGAGGUCUGCAGCGUUAUUUGGGUAGCCAGUCGCCUCUNGAAGCUUUUCUGUAGACAGCACGCUGACUGCGGGACGGUCUAGGGAGCACGGUUGGGAUUCCACACCAACGCUUAGGAUGUUGACGAAAUGGUUUUAAACGACCCGUCUUGAAACACGGACCAAGGAGUCUAACAUACAUGCGAGUGUUUGGGUGGCAAACCCUCACGCGAAAUGAAAGUGAACUUAGGUGCGAUCUUCGGUGCAGCAUCGACCGGUCUGGAUUUUUUUGAUAGAUCUGAGUAAGAGCAUNUCUGUUGGGACCCGAAAGAUGGUGAACUAUGCCUGAAUAGGGUGAAGCCAGAGGAAACUCUGGUGGAGGCUCGUAGCGAUUCUGACGUGCAAAUCGAUCGUCAAAUUUGGGUAUAGGGGGCGAAAGACUAUC